CUUAUACUCCCUCCGUCCGAAAAUACUUGUCAUCAAAAUGGAUAUCCAUUUUGAUGACAAGUAUUUUCGGACGGAGGGAGUAGCUA
rnacentral:pre_miRNA from 1 species